GGAGGCCCCUCCCCAGGACUCAGCUCCCCAGUCUCCCGGCUGCCCCCUGCCUUGCAGCCCUUUCUGGCACUGUCUUUCCCACGCAGCACAAAUGCCCUCCCCUCCCCCAUCUCCCUGGCUCAGUGGAUCCUUCGGCAGAAGGACCCCCCCCCUCCGCCCCCCAGCUGGGGGAUCUGCCCUCCCAACCCCACAGACCAGCCUUCUGUCUCUCAGGCUGGGAGGCGCCGUGUCUGCAGCCCCACCGUGCGGCCAGGCACCAGCGGGGGCGGGGCUUGUCCAAGCCUGGAACCCGUGAAGUCCAAGGACUGCCUCCCCCUGCAGCUCGAGUCCAGACCCCGAGCUGUACCGCAGGUGUUGUUCUAGGCACUCUACAGAGAACUAUGGCCCAAAGCCGUUCAUGGACUUGGUCAGAUCCUCUGCAUCAUACCUGGGACUAGUACUCUGCCAAUAUUUGCCUCCGGACGCUCCUGCUGUGGGCAAAGUAUGCUUUCUUGUCCUCGUGAGGCUGGGGUUGGCCCUGUGCCUUGCUGGGCCGAUGAGACGUUAGCGGAUGUGCGCGCGCAGAAGCCUGAAUGGUUCGCUUUGGCUCCUGGGCUCCGGUGACGCUCCUGGAGGACACGCCCCAGGAAGCUGCUGGCCCAAGAAACGAGAGGCUUGUGGCCAGACCCGGACCCAACCCGAAGCUUGGAGCCAAGUCCAGCUGAGCCAGUCAAGGUCAUGCGGACCUAUGAGCCGGAGAGGGAGUGGGGUGUCCCUCGGCGUGCCUACGGCCACACUGUGCACCCGUGAACCUGCCAGACUCGGUACCCACUGCGUGUGUGCCCAGAGACAGGCCCUGCGUGGGUGAUGUCCUGGCGGUCUGUCUCUCCUCCCCCCUGAGAGAAGAGUGGAGCCCACUGCCUGGUGAAACUGACCGCUGAGACAUGACAUGCUCUAUCUAAGGCAUGGGUUGGACAUGCUGGAAACUUACUCCGGUAGCAGUGCGAGGAUGGAUCAGAGGUGGUGAAAGCAGGGAAACAGCUGACAAAGAAUGUUCACCCAAGCUCGUUCUCCACAUGGGGCACCCCACUCACCCCUCGCUCUGCAUUGCUGAUGUCCUCAUACGGGGGAGAAUAUUUCAGAAUCAGAUGCUUAUCAUUUCUAAUUGGUUCAUCUUAAUAAAAUCAAGAAACACUGGGGAGAACCAA